CUGGAAUUUCUCUCACUCCUGUGGCUGCUGCCAGGAGAGGGAGAAGAGAACAGAGCUCAGCCAGGUGCUCUGAGCCUCAGCCUGGGGAAGGUGAUGUUAUCCCCUAGGGAUGAGCAUCCCUGCCUGAAGGGGAUGUAAUUCUUGCUGUGGGAAGAAGAAGCUGAGGAAAGGAGAGCUCUGUGCACUCCAGAGCUCAUCUGCAUCCCUGAGUGCCACACCCCGGGUGGUGCCGGCCUCAAACGAGAGCUGGGAAGGCUCGGGGCUGUGGAAAAUUUGGGAAUCGGGUGGGAAGGGCCGUGUGGAUGGGCUUUGGACCAACCUGGGUGAGGCGGAGACACAGGCUCUGCAAACUGGAUGCUGCUGCUGCUGCUGGUGCUGCUGCUGCCCCAGGAAACCUGAGCAAAGAGAAGGGAAGGAGAGGAGCUGUGGCACAGAGCAAGGAGCAGGAAUCCCACAGGAAUUCGUGGGGAUGGAAAUUACUGAAUUAAUAAUGAACUGAAGACCACCACAGGUGUCCCAGCAGACUGGAUCAAUGUUGUUUGGGAAGCAGCUCUGGCAGUGCUCCUUGAAGCUUCAUUUUUUUAAGGAAUGUUGGAAGCUGAAGCAAAACAUAUCAACCACUCCUAGGAACCUGACCUGCUGGAAGGGAGAAAUCUACCCCAAAAACAAGGGGAGUUUUGAUGAUUGGAAGCCAAGAUUUUACUCUGGAAGUACAAAUACUGUUGGAUUUUUUUCCCCUCACUUUUCAUUCAUACAUCCCUCCACUUCAUUUCCUUUAUCCAAAAUGCUCUCGAGUGAGCAGCUCAUUUCCCUGGCAACAACUUCCCAGCACAUCCCGUGCAUUUAAUUCCUUUUCUGGGCUGGGAGUGCCUUUUGUCCCUGGGGCAGAUGUGACAAGGCAGACAGAGGUGAGCUUUUUUCAGCGCACAUCCUGCCAGCCCAAAGCCUCGGGGCUUUUUGGGGUGGCCAUACCUUGUGCAGGUCCCCGAGGUGACUCCUCUCACUGCCACUUUUCAUUUUUUCCUGUGUGGGCACCACAGGGGUUGUGUGAGUGCUGGUGGGAAGUGAAAACCGGUUCUACACAGCCCUGGCUGUGAUGAGGAGGCUGCUGCAGGGGAGCAGUGACCCAGCGUUUCCAAAACCUGACAAUUCUCACCCAGACCUCUGUGCCCCAGCCUCUCAGGCUGAUUUUUGUGCAAUCAGCUGCAACAAAGUGCAGAAGCUGAAAUCUGAAAGGCUUCAAGAGCUGUAAUGUCACGAACCAGGAAGAAAUAGUGAUUUGCCAAGCUCUUUAUGCAAAUCCCCGGAGUGGCUGGAGCUGGAGGAAUCCUACAAAGGCUGGAAGGGGGAAUGAGAGGGAAUGUGUGUGUGAGUACUCAGAGAGCUCCAGAAGGGAUGGGGCUGCCCAGGUGAGCCUUCCAUCCUGCAGGGAGUGACUUUUCUGGAGCUGCUCUGCUUUCUCCCUGUACUCCUCAGAUUUUCACUCCUUUAGGUCACUGCUGCAGCUACUCUGACUGAAUGUUCCUUUCCCCCAUCCUCACCAGCCUGUUACACUCAGAUUUUGGCUCAUAGAUUACAGUCUUGGCAAGAAAACGCAAACCCAAAACAUGAAAAGAGAAGGUACAAAGCAAACACCACGAUGUUUUUACUCACUGCUGAACCAGUGGCUGCUUGUCGUGCUCUCCUCUGCUGCAGCAGCUCCUUGACUGUGAUCUUCACCCUCACACCUUGGUACACCUUGGGCUUUCCUGGAAGAAUUGAAGGAAAAACACUUUGCAAGGAGGGAGAAUCUCAGAGCAAACAGCAAAUCCAGCAGGUUUUCAGGUGUGCUCUAUGUGGAGAACAAUUAGACUUUACAUAACUAAUUGAUCUCUGUUUGCAAUCACACUCAGAGCCCUCUUCAGCACCUGCUGUUCCAGCUUGGGACAAGCAGACACUCAUGAAAAUCUGGCUGUUGAUAAUAUUUAAUAACCACAUGUUUUAUUUUUCUCUGUCUCCUUCUUCCCCCUGCCCCCCUCCCAGCUUUCCCAAUACCAAGCUCCAUCUGGUGCUGCUGUUGGAUUCAUUUAAAUUCCUGACAUAUUUGCCUCUCUCAGGACCUGAAAAUAAAUGUGGGAAGCGCUUCAUCUGGCAGAUGAAACCCAGGGAUAAAACAAUGGAAAUAUGUGGGUGGUUAUUCAGAGAGCUAAACAAAACACCAAUAAAAUGACUGCUUUCUUGCAAA